GCGCGGGCGGGACUAGCGCAGGGCGAGGCUACCGGGGUACCGAGCGUCCAGAGGGCUCAGCUCGCAGCCUCACUCCACUGUGCGAUAGCGGCUCCGCGACGGCUCCACCGGAAACCAGCCGACCGCGGCCAAUCAGCGUUCGGCUGCUGACGUCAAUGCGCCUCGCUCUGGCCAGAGCGGUCGCCUUGGCAACCUUAAAGGCGCAGACGCCUAGGUGCCUCCACCACCCACUAUCCCCACCUCCCCCAUCCUUAGCCGGUCGUUGUCUAGCUAGAACCAUUCUCUUGCAGGGCAUCUUUCCAUCUUAUCUUGUCGCGUAUACGCAGGCAGGCCCUUCCUCGUUCCCAUCUUUCCUUUGUCUUCCCGCUAACCCGUGUCUGUCUCCUUUUUUUUUCACUUGUCCCUUUCUUACCGGGUGGGGGGGGGGGCGGCGGAGAGGGUCCUCUAGAUUGUUCUGCUGUUUGGAGAUCUCGAGCUCUCCUCCGUUCCUCAGGGGGCUCUUGCGUCUGCCUCCCUCCACGCCUCUGCCUUUUCUCCCUCCCUUUGACCCUCCUCCCGCAGACCCACGUGGGACGUUUCGGUGACAGGCCCUGGAAGAGGAGGAGGCCCUAACGGAUCUGCCACAGCUGAGCGCAAGCGGAUGCUGGGAUGCUCUUGAUGGGCAGAGAGCGCAUCCUGUGUAGACCCCCGCAAUACCCAGGGUUCCGGCCUCGGACUGUCAUCCGGUCCAGGAAAUCUGAGCCCCUAUCAAGCCUCUGCUUGGCUCAUCUGACUACUGUCUCCUCUAGUGUGCUGCCAUCAAUGGAGGCCUUACGGGGCCUACAGAAGCACCAGACAUAGGAAAAGACUUCCAAGAGGAGGCCGGAAUUCUGAUAAUGCCCUAUCCUCCUAUCAUGCCGUGACUGCGUGGUGGGCAGUACAGACAGGUAGGCAGAUCAAGUCAUAGACCAAGCAAGAAAUCUGAGCUGCACGAGAAAGCAGGAAAAAAGGCGACUUCGUUUUUCCUUCAGUCAACUUUCCCCUUUUGAAAGCAGGGGAAACAAUUUUAGGCAUAUGAAUUAAAUAAAUAAAGUGGGACUAAAUAAAUACAUAAAUAAAAUAGGCCCUUGCAGUGUA